rnacentral:misc_RNA from 1 species
GAAGUUGUUAUGCCAGCUCAGAGACUUCGAGAAGCUGUUAUGGUUGUGGAUUCUGUUCUGUGUGCUUAGCAAUUUGUUAGGCAAGAUUAGUUAUGUGAGCGGGAAAGUGAGAAUCUGUUAUGGAGUUGUUAGAUUGUUAGCUAUAAAUGAUGUAAAUGAUUGCAUAGAAACCAUUCUUGAUUUCUUAAUGAAGUUGAUUGAGAUUUGAGUUCCAUUCUAUGUGUUUCCUUCCUUUCUAUUUUUGUCUGCUACUACAUUGGUAUCAGAGCUGUGGUCCACGGCCAUGACAGGGGUGGAGAUGCGAUCCCAAGAGUGGCGAAAAAAGUUGGCUUCGAUGGUGAUUGAGGCUGAGCACAGACAGGAAGCUUGGCUAUAGAAGAUGGUGGCGAGACAGGAAGUUAAGUUUCAGGAAAUUGUUGAUGAGUUGAAAACUUUGAUUACUGGAUUAAGGUGUCAGAAUGUGGAGACAGUGGGAAGAAGGAAUCAGGAUGUGCAAGUGCCAGUUGUUGAUAAUAUAGUGAGGGCUAAUCCGUGGAACAAUUCUG